rnacentral:rRNA from 1 species
UACGUAGGGGGCAAGCGUUGUCCGGAAUCAUUGGGCGUAAAGCGCGCGUAGGCGGCCCUGUAAGUCCGCUGUGAAAGUCAAAGGCUCAACCUUUGAAAGCCGGUGGAUACUGCAGGGCUAGAGUCCGGAAGAGGCGAGUGGAAUUCCUGGUGUAGCGGUGGAAUGCGCAGAUAUCAGGAGGAGCACCGGUGGUGAAGGCGGCAUCCUGGACCAACACUGACGCUGAGGAGCGAAAGCCAGGGGAGCAAACGGG